CAGUAGCCACGGGAAUACGAAGGGGGCUAGCGUUGUUCGGAUUUACUGGGCGUAAAGCGCACGUAGGCGGACUUUUAAGUCAGGGGUAAAAUCCCGGGGCUCAACCCCGGAACUGCCUUUGAUACUGGAAGUCUUGAGUAUGGUAGAGGUGAGUGGAAUUCCGAGUGUAGAGGUGAAAUUCGUAGAUAUUCGGAGGAACACCAGUGGCGAAGGCGGCUCACUGGACCAUUACUGACGCUGAGGUGCGAAAGCGUGGGGAGCAAACAGGAUUAGAUACCCGCGUAGUCCCUGUCUCUUAUAC
rnacentral:rRNA from 1 species